GUGCCUGUGGCUCAGUGGGUAGGGCGCUGGCCCCUUAUACCAAGGGUAGCAGGUUCGAACCCAGCCUGGGACA
rnacentral:tRNA from 1 species